rnacentral:sRNA from 1 species
AGAGGGCACAGAACGUGGUCGGCGGCCGGCCCCGGUGCGUUGAUCCGCACGGUGCCGGAU